CAGGCAUGCUGGAGCCCCACAGCGGCGCCUGGGAUCUUGAACCCGACACCGUAAUCCACACUGGGGCUUAU
rfam:Hoeflea sp. BRH_c9 BRHa_1000072, whole genome shotgun sequence.